GGCGGAUGUAGCCAAGUGGAUCAAGGSA
rnacentral:tRNA from 1 species